rnacentral:tRNA from 1 species
GCAGUGGUGGUUCAGUGGUAGAAUUCUCAAGGAGACCUGGGUUUGAUUCCCAGCCAGUGCA